rnacentral:rRNA from 1 species
AUGGACGAAAGUCUGACGGAGCAACGCCGCGUGAGUGAUGAAGGUUUUCGGAUCGUAAAACUCUGUUGUUGGGGAAGAACAAGUAUCGUUCGAAUAGGGCGGUACCUUGACGGUACCUAACCAGAAAGCCCCGGCUAACUACGUGCCAGCAGCCGCGGUAAUACGUAGGGGGCAAGCGUUGUCCGGAAUUAUUGGGCGUAAAGCGCUCGCAGGCGGCCUUUUAAGUCUGAUGUGAAAGCCCACGGCUCAACCGUGGAUGGUCAUUGGAAACUGGAGGGCUUGAGUACAGAAGAGGAGAGUGGAAUUCCACGUGUAGCGGUGAAAUGCGUAGAGAUGUGGAGGAACACCAGUGGCGAAGGCGACUCUCUGGUCUGUAACUGACGCUGAGGAGCGAAAGCGUGGGGAGCAAACAGGAUUAGAUACCCUGGUAGUCCACGCCGUAAACGAUGAGUGCUAGGUGUUAAGGGGUUUCCGCCCCUUAGUGCUGAAGUUAACGCAUUAAGCACUCCGCCUGGGGAGUACGGCCGCAAGGCUGAAACUCAAAAGAAUUGACGGGGGCCCGCACAAGCGGUGGAGCAUGUGGUUUAAUUCGACGCAAC